UCUCGGUCUGCGCAUGAAACUCAAGAUGGCGUUGCUAGGAAACCCACCAGCAGAGCAAGGUAACGCUGAUGAUCUUUGAUGCUAACAACAGCUAACUGCCAAUAGGAAGUUCUGGAGACAAGACCCCCCCACCGCAACAGCCUGUCAACGAAAUGUGGACCCUGUGACAAGUGCGGAGGACGUUUUUCAUCCACACACUCGGAAUAGGAAAUGUCAAAGACGACUUAACCUACAGCUCUGCCGUCAAAGUCCAGCCCAUGGAGACACAACUUAGACCUACAAAGUAAGCUCCUCUCCUGUGGAACCAGGUCCCAGUUUGGGUUCAGGAGGCAGACGUCAUCGGAGACUGGAUCGAAGAGUUCUGGAGAUGAACUGGAGCAACACACACAGGAGACUGGAGACACACAGGAGCCGGAGCUGGAGCGACACACUCGGGGAACUGGAGAUCUCAGGAGUCGGGAUCAGGGUUCGGCGUAGCGGUAGUUUUGACGAAGCGUCGUGGGUGAGUCCGUAGAGUAUCGGUGGCAGGAGUAGACGCUCUGUCCUUCAUACUAAUGAGACCGGACACUGAGUGAGGUGAGGAGUUGUAAUUUAUAGAGGAGUAGAGUGGCUGAUGACGUUCAGGUGUGUGAUGGGUGACAGGUGCUGGGAAUCAAUAUACAGGUGAGGGAGUGCAGAGUGAAGGGGAGUGGCUGGAGAGAACAUGACAGACUGUGACAUAGGCAAUGAUGGUGUAACAAUGUUUUACACUGGCAGUUGCUUGCAGACAACACAAAAAUGAAAAAUACAGUUUCUGUCUCAAUUUUUUGUGAGAAACUGAUAAAAAAAAUAAUACAGCACACAGCCUCCCUUAUUUUUAAAAGUGCCAACAGAAUGGAUCUUACUUAAUUUGUUUUAAAAAAGCAGUCUAAGAUGAUCUGAACCCUAAGAUGCUGUUGGGAAAUGGGGUUCUGUCUUUAUACUCACAUUCCCCUAUAAACAUUUGCUUACUUACUAAAUCUUGCACUUGUAGUUUCAUGUAUUUACCAGUUCUUUUAUAUUCUUAUUCUGGGCAGACAUCAAUUUGUAAGUACAUGCCUGUUUGUUUUACAAAUGCAAUGCAGUAGGCGAGUAGGUAAAUUUCAAAAAAGUUUUAAGGCCUCAUCUUUUCCAAAUUUUAAAGCAAAUGGGAACCCAGAGGAAACCCUCAUAACGGCUCAUUUCAACGCAUCCGUUUCUACAGGUUGCCCUGAUACUCUAAUAAAGUAUAUAGUAUUUCUGAUUCUAAUUAUAAAAGUCAUCUGCAAAGCUAUAUUCCUGGCACUGGUGGAGUGCUGGUUUCUUCUAUGUAUGUGUUGGGAAUAUCGAAGGGCAGGUUUAGUUAUUAGCAAAUAUCAAAGAUAUGUAUUAAUAUUAAUACAAAUAUUAAUAUCACUAAAAUUAUUAAUAAGGAUUAAUAUUUACGGGCACCACCCUAGGAUCAGGGACCAAUAACCAAACCAUGUAUACAGUCUCAAAAACAGGUUCAACCACUUAGAAAUGCCAAUAUUUAAUAACUAUUUUAUAUUAAUAAGGUGGACAGUGAAGGAUGAAUCAGUGCACUGACCAUCACAUCCAGCUGUUACUACAACAUAUGUACCAAAGGUACAAUAGAGUUUAACUUUACUACAACAGUAGGGCUCAACAGCACAGCAAUCGUGAAUAAUGAAGAAACAUAAAGAAGUUUCCACCGUACUGUACAGUGUGGGUUUGUGCUGCUUUUCACAUCCUCUGAACUAGAUUACCAGACCGACAGAACAUUCAGAACCAAGCCAAGCUGCCCAUGUCAGCUCCUCAAUGCCAAGACCACCUGGCCUGCUCUCAGCCUCAGCCUGCCGUGACAGAGUGCCCAGCCUUCAGCCAGUGUGUCUGCUGACCUGUUUAACUGCUGUCUACCAUCACAGUUCACCAGAGCUGACAGAGGCUAUUUGGGCUUGAUGUGGUUGUUACUGGACUAAUGGAUUCUUACUGGAAGCUGUCCUGUGCUUUGAUGGUCAGCAGAGAAACCCCGACAUACACAGAUUGUGUAUCUCUGUUAUGUCAUACAUGUCUGACAGGAGCCUGUCACUCUUGCAGCAGAAGGACGUGAUCAUGUGAAAGCAGUGAAUCCUUGAAUCAGCUGUUAAAUGAAUUCCUUGCCUCAGUUCUGUAUUCAGAAGAAGAAGCUCGGCAGAUUGGAUAUACAUCACGAUCCUGCCAAACCUAAUUGUUGGAAAAGAGCAUAUAGUCGGGAUGUUGUCACAAGACGUUGCUGCAGAUCUGUGGCAGAAUGCACGGAUUACCUGGUGCUGAUGAUCACCGUUCAUGUUGUUUCCUGGAUUCCUGUCUGCCUGCUUCUCCAGCCAGCUUCACCUUGCCUGUCGUCAUCAGUCCACAUUGCUCGUUCACCAUCACUGCUACUUUUCUGGGGUUCUAAGUUCUACACCGCUGGCUUCGCUCUGAACUACUACGCCCCUUCCCACUAUUCAACUUUAUUACAAAUAAAGUGUGUAUUGGAUUGCAAAG